UACGGAGGGUGCAAGCGUUGUCCGGAUUUAUUGGGUUUAAAGGGUGCGUAGGCGGCCCUGUAAGUCAGUAUUAAAAGACGGUAGCUUAACUAUCGGUUGGGUAUUGAUACUGCAGGGCUUGAGUUGAGACGAGGUAGGCGGAAUUGAUAAUGUAGCGGUGAAAUGCAUAGAUAUUAUCAGGAACUCCGAUUGCGAAGGCAGCUUACUAGGCUCAAACUGACGCUGAGGCACGAAAGUGUGGGGAGCAAACAGG
rnacentral:misc_RNA from 1 species